ACGCUCGACACCUACGGGAGGCAGCAGUGGGGAAUAUUGCACAAUGGGGGAAACCCUGAUGCAGCGACGCCGCGUGAGUGAAGAAGUAUUUCGGUAUGUAAAGCUCUAUCAGCAGGGAAGAGAAUGACGGUACCUGACUAAGAAGCCCCGGCUAACUACGUGCCAACAGCCGCGGUAAUCUGAGCGGGCUGGCAAGGC
rnacentral:rRNA from 1 species